CACCGCGGUUAUACGAGAGGCCCAAGUCAAUAGCCCCCGGCGUAAAGGGUGGUUAGGAUUUUCCCCAUACUAAAGCCCUACACUCCCAAGGCUGUUAUACGCACCCGGGAAGUGGAUGACCCCCUACGAAAGUGGCUUUAACAACACUGAACCCACGAAAGCUACAGAA
rnacentral:rRNA from 1 species